rnacentral:rRNA from 1 species
GGGUUGUGAGGUUAAGCGACUAAGCGUACACGGUGGAUGCCCUGGCAGUCAGAGGCGAUGAAGGGCGUGCUAAUCUGCGAUAAGCGCCGGUAAGGUGAUAUGAACCGUUAUAACCGGCGAUACCCGAAUGGGGAAACCCAGUGUGACUCGUCACACUAUCAUUAACUGAAUCCAUAGGUUAAUGAGGCGAACCGGGGGAACUGAAACAUCUAAGUACCCCGAGGAAAAGAAAUCAACCGAGAUUCCCCCAGUAGCGGCGAGCGAACGGGGAGGAGCCCAGAGCCUGAAUCAGCAUGUGUGUUAGUGGAAGCGUCUGGAAAGGCGCGCGAUACAGGGUGACAGCCCCGUACACAAAAGCGCAUGUGCUGUGAGCUCGAUGAGUAGGGCGGGACACGUGGUAUCCUGUCUGAAUAUGGGGGGACCAUCCUCCAAGGCUAAAUACUCCUGACUGACCGAUAGUGAACCAGUACCGUGAGGGAAAGGCGAAAAGAACCCCGGCGAGGGGAGUGAAAAAGAACCUGAAACCGUGUACGUACAAGCAGUGGGAGCCCCACCACCAAAGCAUUUGCUGUACCGCGUUGACGGAGCGAAGCGACGUCAAAC